rnacentral:rRNA from 1 species
GGGGCAUUUUCCGCAAUGGGCUCAAGCCUGUNCGGNGCAAUNCCGCGUGUCGGNCGGCAGGCUCUUGGGUUGUAAACCUCUUUUCUCAGGGUNAUAAUCACUGAAGGUACCUGUAGGNAUCAGCAUCGGCUAACCCCGUGCCAGCAGCCGCGGUAAUACGGAGGNUGCAAGCGUUAUCCGGAAUGAUUGGGCGUAAAGCGUCCGCAGGUGGUUUAUCAAGUCUGCUGUCAAAGAGUUUGGUUCAACCAAAUAAAGGCAGUGGAAACUGACAGACUGGAGUGCGGUAAGGGCAGAGGGAAUUCCUGGUGUAGCGGUGAAAUGCGUAGAGAUCAGGAAGAACACCGGUGGCGAAAGCGCUCUGCUGGGCCGUAACUGACGCUCAUGGACGAAAGCCAGGGGAGCGAAAGGGAUUAGAUACCCCUGUAGUC